UCUUGCGGUGAAUCACGGUCACAUUUCGUGAUAAAUAUCGCCAAAAUCUAUGCAUGGCACAGUCUGUGGUCAUGUUAAUUUUGCACUAUCGUAAUCACAUUGCAAACCGUGAACAUUGAGUCAUUUGGGUUCAUUUCCUUGAUGUGAAGGCAGUUUUCUAAGGAAAGAGCAAGAAUGGAAGAGAAAAUGAAAGCAGCAUCAAAUUAUGACAAGGCGUUGUUGCAGUCUAAGGAGCUGUAUCAGUACAUCUUGGACACAAGUGUGUACCCAAAUGAACCAGAGCCUCUUAAGGAGCUGAGAGAAGUUUCUGCAAGCCAUCCAAGUUAUUGGAUGGGCACUGCACCAGAUGCA